GAACUCAAUUUUUAUCAAUUUGUUAUUAGAACUCAAUUUAAAUAAGUUACCAGUACUUUUUAUGCAAAAAUGCUGAUAAACUCGAUUAAUUUGAGCUGUCCUAACUUAGAAAAACUAAGUAAGCUGGAAGUUUUGCUUCUCAGGGCGGAAGGAUGAAAGAUGUGUUUUGAAAAUGCCACGUGACUACCAUCCUCCUCCCUCCCGGAUCAGUCCGCAUGUUCAUGGCGCCAGCAUUUGUUAUGGAAUAUAUUGAGCAAACCUGGAGAUAUUAUUGUUGUCAUUGCUGUGGAUCUUUACUGACUUGGCUCGGGACCAGCACUCCUGUUGUUGGACAGGAAGACAUCAACUCAGUGACUUGAGAUAUGACUGCACUGUGCUGUUGCUGUGACUCCAGUUAAUUCUACAAGACAUGCUGUGACACCAGGAGAGAUGAGUCCUCCAUCACAGAUGGUGUGGUCAGUGAAGAUGGUCGCCUGCAGGUUCAAGCUCAUUGCAUCUCCAACCCACAUCCACUGCCACUGUACUUAAGGGAAGUUAAAGACUUUCUUCUGCACCUACAUUUGGAUCACCUCGAUCCAUGACAGUCAUUCAGGCAGUAAUGCCUGGACUGGAAACAAGCCAUCCUUAAAAUAUUACAACAUUCCAGCUCCUGUGUUGGAAUGAAAAACGAAUGUGUUGUUUAAAUUAGAGACUGCACUUGUGACAGAACAAUAAAUAUUUUAUUUUGAUUAUAUAAAUAAUGUAAGUACAAAACAAACUUGUGGUAGACCUAAACUUAUUUUCAGAAUAAUUACAUCUGAGACUUUGUUUCAUUGUAAGAUUAUAACAGUGAUGGCAAUAUAAUUUUUAUUCAGCAGAACAGUGUCCAGUAUGUUGGCUGUUGUACUUUGUUGUGUUUGAAAAUAAAAGUUGUGCUCAUUUUAACAUCAUUACAAAAAGUGUUGUUAAUUAUUUUUAGUCAUAAUCAGGUUACCACAAAUUGUUUUUUCAUUUAGUUGAACUUGAAAUGUUUGUCAGUAGGUUAACAAUUAG